AAUCAACGCUGGCGGCGUGCCUCAGACAUGCAAGUCGAACGCGAAAGUCCCCUUCGGGGGGCAAGUAGAGUGGCGCACGGGUGAGUAACACGUAGGUAAUCUACCUUUGGAUUGGGAAUA
rnacentral:rRNA from 1 species